GACGAACGCUGGCGGCGUGCUUAACACAUGCAAGUCGAACGGAAAGGCCCUGCUUUUGUGGGGUGCUCGAGUGGCGAACGGGUGAGUAACACGUGAGUAACCUGCCCUUGACUUUGGGAUAACUUCAGGAAACUGGGGCUAAUACCGGAUAGGAGCUCCUGCUGCAUGGUGGGGGUGGGAAAGUUUCGGCGGUUGGGGAUGGACUCGCGGCUUAUCAGCUUGUUGGUGGGGUAGUGGCUUACCAAGGCUUUGACGGGUAGCCGGCCUGAGAGGGUGACCGGCCACAUUGGGACUGAGAUACGGCCCAGACUCCUACGGGGGGCAGCAGUGGGGAAUAUUGCACAAUGGGCGGAAGCCUGAUGCAGCAACGCCGCGUGCGGGAUGACGGCCUUCGGGUUGUAAACCGCUUUCGCCUGUGACGAAGCGUGAGUGACGGUAAUGGGUAAAGAAGCACCGGCUAACUACGUG
rnacentral:rRNA from 1 species